UUCCAGCACAUCCGCACUUGCAUAGACAUAAACCGCUUGCUCGCUUUCGAUCCAAUCAAACCGGCCAUCGAUUCAGCUGUUGAGACUCUCACAAAAGGAAAGCUAUCGAAGAAAGCUCAGAUACCUCGCUUCACUCCACCUUCGGAUGCCGUCGAGAAGGUCCGUGAAGCUCUGAAGAUCAACAAGAAACAGUUCCUCAAAUGCUGGGAGAUCUUGAUAUAUCUCGCGCUUGAUCCUAUCGACAAAUACAUGGAGGAUUACGCAUGUGUCAUCACGAACCAUGUGAGAAUCGAUAUUCUUGGAAAAGAUAUAGAGGCUCCAAAGAAGCAGGUGGUGGAUGUUCCAACGACGUUCGAAGCUGAAGCAUCGUUUGUGGUUUUCAAGUGUGUGAAUGGAGAAGAAGCUAAUAACAGCAAUGUUCAAGUGGAUGAAAACAAACCGGAUCAAGAGCAGCAGCUGAAGCAAUUGGUUGAAGAAAGGAUUCGUGAGAUCAAGUUGGUUGCUGAGAAAGUCUCUAGAAAAUGAGAAUCUGAGUUGAAUAAAAACUUUGAGAGAGAUAUUUAUCAGAAGCUUUUUUGUUGAGUGUUCAAACUCUGUGGUCUUUAAAAAGACAAAUCUGUUUGUAUUCUCUUUGUACCGGUUUGUUACGGAGGUUUGAGUAAACAGUGUAGUUCCGGUUUAGCGGUUUCGUUCGGUUAUGCAACUAUUAGCACAAUUUACAUUCAUACCCGUAGUAAAUGUUUGAGGGCAAUUUCUUAAGUUUUCCUGUAGUGUAGCUGUUGAGUUACGUGCUGGGCCUUUAAUGGGCUCAAAACUUCUAAGGGCGUGAGAGGUUAAUGCUACAUGCUAACUAUAAUGGCACACACACUCAGCCCACUAAAGCCCAUAUAAAUCAUCUAGGUUUAGUUCAGUGUAGCAUAUAAAAUGCUUACUUCUCCCCCUUCUACGCCUUUCUGUCUGUCGACGUUCUUCAAGCCGCAAAGGUACUCUCUCUCGAGCUCAAUUCUUAGUUCUAUGAUCGUUAUAAUCUAGCAGUUUACAGAUCUGUUUAGUUUCCCGAUAAGUGAAUCUACUUAUAAGUGGUAUUUGAUAGGUAAGAGUUUGAAGAAGUACAAACACAGACGAAAGAGAAAAUGUCUGAGAAAAAGGGAAGGAAAGAGGAAGUGGUGACCAGAGAGUACACCAUCAACCUCCACAGACGCCUUCAUAGCUGGUUAGCUUUCUUAAAAACCUUAAUCUCUUCUACGACUGUUCAUGUUGUAGCUGCCUGAUUGUUCAAGUACAUAGUGUUUGUAAUGUGAUCGUCUCUUCCUGCCAUAUUAUAGUUAGGAAUCUUCUUGGACUUCUUGUGGGUUAUUUAAUUAGUGUCUAAAGUUUUAUCCUUUUCUAAAUGUAAAUCAUAUGUUAGGCCUUAAAAAUAAAUCUUUUUCAAAUUCAUUACAUUCAUAAAAAAUGUUGUUUAUGAUAUGGUGAAAAUUAGUAGCAAGCUUCUUUGGCUUACUUUUCGAAACUCAGUUUUGCAAUUGAAUUCACAUUGAAAUGUUGUUUAUAAUAAUCAUAUUCCAUGUGUUCAAUCUUGUUUCAGCUCGCUAUUACUGUUUUGGUGUUUCUUGAAGCAUAAUAAGUAUAACAAACACUGAAUCUUGUUCUGGUUCGGAUUCAAUUUAACCAAAUAUGAUAGUGUUGAAAUGAAAAUGUGAAUUUCAUUUUAAGAUUAGGUUUUAUUUAUCUGCUGAUUGUUUUCUUGAGAUUUAAGGUUUCCUGCUAAUACAUAAUUAAUUUUGUAACAGCACCUUUAAGAAGAAGGCACCAAAGGCCAUUAAGGAGAUCAGGAAGUUUGCAGAGAAAGCCAUGGGGACAAAGGACGUUAGAGUAGACGUGAAGUUGAACAAGCAGAUAUGGAGCAGAGGUAUCAGAGGUCCCCCGAGGAGGAUUAGGGUCCGUGUUGCACGUAAGAGAAAUGACGAUGAAGACGCAAAGGAAGAGUUUUUCUCGCUUGUCACUGUUGCUGAAAUCCCUGCCGAAGGACUCAGUGGACUCGGCACUAAGGUCAUCGAUGAGGAGGAUUGAGAGGAGAGGACUAGUCUGUCACUUAGACAAGUUUUGGUGUUUUUCUUUUAAUUUCUCGUUUUUUUUCAUUCAACAAGUCACAGAUGCAGUUUAUUGGAAAGACUCAUUUUCUAGAUCUUACGAUGAAUCUUUUUAUCUUCUGGAUUUUUUUCUUGAAAUCUCACAUUUUUAAGACGGUCCUAGUGAUAAUCAAGGUGAACCUUAGUUGUCUAUGCAAUCAAUUGAACCUAACAUUUCGUUAAACAUAUAAAUGUCAAAAAAAAAAAACAUAUAAAUGUCAAAUGAAAUAAACUUUAUGUAAUUCAAGAUACGUUCAUAGACAAGUCCGAAUCAAAAAAAUGUUUUCACUUUUCCGUAAUAAAGGAAAACAGAAGGACUCGAAAAUCAGUUCCAUGUGAUGUCAGCGUACCUUUUGAACGAAGACAUCCAUCACGCCAGGCCAGCUCUAGUUCGUUUCGCGUAUAAAAAGAAAAAGACGUCGACAGCAGGAUUCGAACCUGCGCGGGCAAAGCCCAAUUGAUUUCGAGUCAAUCUCCUUAACCACUCGGACAUAUCGACUUUUUGUAUGAUUCUCUCCUUUGACUACCUAUGAUAGUAUUGACCACAUCUGACGCUUCAAAUUAUAGAAAACCAAAAUUCUAUAAAGGCCACAACAUUUGUUUCAACUUUUCUAAGUGAUAAUAUUAUGUAAUAUGUGUUUAUGUGGCUAUCGGUCAAAAAGCUUCUUCCGCCCCCCGGUCUUGAAAUAUAAUUAAGUACUUACAUUUUUCCGGUUCGUGAAACUUAAUUUCUCCAGAUAACCGAACAAAACCAGUUCCAUGUCAUCGUAAAAUAUCCAAAUCGUUCAUUAAGCAACGUAUAAUGUAAAAUUAACCGGAACUGGUUCACAAAACCAGACCGAGCAGCAACAUAUAUAUAAAAAACAUAAAAAUGAGUUUUGUGCAAAGGUAAUCUUCUUAAAGGUCAGCUCUUCCAGGAUAGCGAGGGAAGGGAAUAACGUCUCUGAUGUUGUCCAUUCCUGUCGCAAACAGAACCAUACGCUCGAACCCAAGUCCGAACCCUGAAUGCUUCGCUGUUCCGUAACGUCUCAAGUCCAAGUACCACUCGUAUGGCUCCACUGGUAGUCCCAUCUCCUCAAUUCUGUUCAUACCAACAAAAAAAAAACACAAUCAAAGAAACAUCCAACAUUAAACAAAUUAAUUUCACUUUCACCAACCUUUCCAUGAUAACGUCAAUCCUUUCUUCCCUUUGGCUUCCACCAAUGAGUUCUCCAACCUAAUUAAAAAAGACGCCAUCAAUGUAUACUCUUCCAUGAUUAAAUGAUUCAACUUUACCUUUGGAACGAGGACAUCCAUGGCAGCAACGGUCUUCCCAUCAUCAUUAAGCCUCAUGUAGAAAGCCUUGAUUCCUUUCGGGUAGUUGUAAACAAUCAGAGGCUUCUGAAACACAACCUCUGUCAAGUACCUAUAAGAUAUGAGACAAGACAACAUUAGUAACGUUUUUUCUUGCAUUUUAAGUUGAAAAAUAGUUUUUUAACCUUUCGUGCUCAGAUGCUAAGUCGAUCCCCCACUCCACUGGGUUAACAAACUCCUUCCCUUUCCCCACAGCUUCCUCAAGCAGCUCUAUCGCUUUGGUGUACGUUAACCUACCAAACGGAGUCGACGCAACCAGCUUCAGCCUAUCGAUACACCGGCCAUUAGCUCCAUGUCAUCGUACCGCUUCUCGAGCAGCCACUUGCACAUGUACCUCACGUACGCCUCCGCGCAGUUCAUAUCGUCCUCUAGAUCGGCGAAAGCUAACUCAGGCUCCACCAUCCAGAACUCGGCGAGAUGUCUCGACGUGUGAGAGUUCUCCGCUCGAAAAGUAGGACCGAACGUGUACACGUCGCUCAGACCGCAAGCGUAGGUUUCCACUUGUAAUUGACCUGAGACCGUCAAGAAAGCUUGACGGCCGAAGAAAUCUUGAGUAUAAUCAAUCUUUCCAUCGAGUUUAGGCAAUCCAGGUUUGAGCCUUGACCUCUCUUCGGUCCUGGAUAAGCUCGCUUUUGCUUCGUUGAGUUCAGCAACGGAGGCUGUGAUCGUUUCCUUGCUUGCUUUAGCGGAUUUGAGCUGCGCUACGGCUUCGCCUCUCGCCUUGACGAUGAGUCUGGCGGCUUCGACGUCGGCCUCGGUGGGUGGAGGGUUUUCGAUGAGGUCUCUCUCCAGCUUCUCGGUGUGGCUGAUGAGAGUUGUUACUUGGAACAUCUCUCCAGCUCCUUCGCAGUCGCUUGUUGUGAUGAUUGGGGUUUGAAUGUAGAGGAAACCUUCUUCGUCGAAGAAUGUGUGUGUGGCUAUAGCGAGUGCGUGUCGGAUUCUUGCAAUUGCUGAGAUCUGAAAAACACAGGGAAACAAAAAACAGGACAAUUCACUUAAACCUAACUUUCUGAUCAAGUAAUCAUUUUUCGAAUAAGGCUGUAAAUGUAACCAUCGUCACUCAACCGUAAAGACGAUUAAGAGAUCUGAAACCACAAGGAAGCAAAAACAGGAGACUCUACUUAAACCUAACUGAAAUCAAAUAACUUUCUGAUCAAGUAAUCAUUUUAGACUAAGGAUGCAAAGAAUCUGUAAUCAUCAAUGAAACUGAGGCCAACAAAGACAGACACUCCACUCAAACCUAAUUGAAAUCAAAUAACUUUCUGAUCAAGUAAUCAUUUUCCACUAAGGCUGCAAAGAAUAGGUAAUCAUGAGCGUCACUGAGGCUAGCAAAAACAGGACACACCGCUCAAACCUAAUACUAUAAUCAAAUAACUUUCUGAUCAAGUAAUAGUUUUUUUCGAUUAGGGCUGUAAAUGAAUCUCUAGUAAUCGUCACUGAGGCUACGAAAGCUAGAAGAAUCUCAAUAACUAAACCCUAAACCCAUGAACACUCCACUCAACUCAAACCUAACUUUCUGAUCAAGAAAUCAUUUUUUGAUUAGAUCUGUACAUAAUCUCAAUAACUAAACCAAUCCCAUAACAUAUUCGAACAAAGUAAGUGAUCUUUAUUACCGAAUUGGUCCUAGAACGAAGAUGAGGAAACUCUCUCAACCUCUCAAGAGUCAGCUUCGUCUUAGGAAUCGGGUAAGUAGCAGUAUCAACCGUCCCCACAUCAAUCACCUCCACAACACUAAGCUCAACCUUCUGCUUCGUCCCUUUACCUUCGGGAGGAAUCUUCAAGCACCCAUCGACGGUCACGCAAGUCCCCGUCGCAACCAGCUUGGUGAGAUCUGAAACCGAAGCGUCCACCAUAACCUGAAGAUUCGCAGGGCACGAUCCGUCGUUAACCUCGAGGAAAGCGAAAGCGCCUUUCCCUUGCUCCCUCCCCGUUUUGACCCACCCGCUGAUUCGGACCUUUUGACCCGCGAGUCCGGCUCCGCCGUCGGGUCGGCCCAGAAUCGAGCGGAUGCGGACUCGGUCUGAGAACCGCGCUUUUUGCACUGUUGAAGAUGAGAUUCCAUCGCUGGAUAUGGAUACGGCGGGUACUUGAUGUGCCGGUGGUGGAACCUCGUCGGCCAUGAGUUUGGGGGCGCUGGAGACAGAACCCUAGAACAGCUAAGCAAGAACAUAACGUGAAGGGGUAUGAUUGGAAAUUAACACCCCGCGGAUUCUAGUGGUUGUGGUUUGUAAUUUCGUAUCAUAAGAUUCUUAAACAAUUAGUUUACUAAUCUUUCCACCUCCAUAUAAAAUAUUCGUAAGAUAAUCAAAUUACUAUAGCUGGUUAAUGUUUCGUUUUUUUUUAAUAAAUUCUUGUAUUUGUUUAUGAUUUGUAUAUUAUAUAAAUAAAUAAAAUAUGAUGUUGAGUUCUAUUAUAUUAUCUUCGGUGUUCAAAAAAGAAGAAGAUAAUAUGAUUUCAAAUAUGAUAGUUAGGUCGGUAACAUUGUAGAACAAUUGUUUAAAAUAUUUUAAGUUGGUUAGCAAUUUUCACACCUGCACAAAAAAAAAAUGAAGAGAAUCAAACAACUCGAAUAAACAAAAGACUCACCCAAUAUCUAACGUACCUGGCCAUCGUGACCACGUAACGUUGUAUUCAAUUAUGAUGCAUCUUAUUUUUUUCCCUCAGGAUAAUAAAAUUUAAGAAGUUUCAAGGUGUAUUGGGACGUCGUCAAAAGUCAACCACAUGCCUCCAUAGGACUUCCAAAAUAACAGAAUAAUUUCCCAGGCAUCACGGUCAUCGUAUCAGUAAGAGAACGAUAUUAAUUCUCCCUUAUCAUUUAUUAGAAACAUUUUUGUUGUCAUCUUCUUCUUGACUUUUCCAACCAAAAUACAUCCUCCCGUCUGUUCUUUUUUUUUCUGGUCAACACACUCUUGAUCAUUUAUGGGUGAAACAAGAUCCAUGAUCACGUUCUUCUUGUUGGUGACCUUCCUACAGAUCAUCUUCCUAGCUCACGGAGCAGCAGGAGAGACGACCACAGAGUUCAUUUUUCAAGGCUUUAAAGUAAACCAAUCAAAGCUUCAAUUAGAAGAAGAUGCAACCAUCACGCCCAACGGACUACUAAGGCUAACCAAUCGAAACUCAGACCGCGCGGGAACGGCUUUUUACAACAAACCGGUUAGACUGCUCGACAAUAACUCCACGGUUCGUUCUUUUAGCACUUCCUUCAUCUUUGUCAUCAUCCCUUCAAGCUCAAACAACGGAGGUUUCGGGUUUACAUUCACACUAUCCCCAACCCCAAACCGUCCAGACGCGGAGACCGCGCAGUACUUGGGUCUUCUCAACGAAGACGACGACGGUGAUCCGGAUAAUCACGUAUUCGCAGUGGAGUUCGACACGGUUCAAGGAUACAAAGACAGCACAGAUCGAAUAGGCAACCACAUCGGUCUAAAUUUCAACAGUCUCUCUUCACAAAUUGUGGGCUUUACUGCUAUUUAUAAGUUCUAUCGUUACCCCGACAGGUUAAGGAUGCGACUCAGCCAGGUAUAAAAAUAUAUACCUCAAUGAUCUCAGUUCUUUUUGCAUUCUUUUGAGUUGACUUGUUGCGCUGAUUCUUCGUUUUGAUUCCAGAUCCUGGUCCUGCCUUCCUUCCAAGGAAAAGGAUUUGGAAGCUACCUCAUGGAGAUUGUAAACAAAAUGGCCGUAUCAGAAAACGUUUACGAUCUAACAGUGGAAGAGCCAUCCGAAAAGUUCCAGCACAUCCGCACUUGCAUAGACAUAAACCGCUUGCUCGCUUUCGAUCCAAUCAAACCGGCCAUCGAUUCAGCUGUUGAGACUCUCACAAAAGGAAAGCUAUCGAAGAAAGCUCAGAUACCUCGCUUCACUCCACCUUCGGAUGCCGUCGAGAAGGUCCGUGAAGCUCUGAAGAUCAACAAGAAACAGUUCCUCAAAUGCUGGGAGAUCUUGAUAUAUCUCGCGCUUGAUCCUAUCGACAAAUACAUGGAGGAUUACGC
rnacentral:lncRNA from 1 species